UACAGAGGUCCCAAGCGUUGUUCGGAUUCAUUGGGCGUAAAGGGCGCGUAGGCGGUCGUGCAAGUCGGAUGUGAAAUCUCAGGGCUCAACCCUGAAACUGCAUUCGAUACUGCGUGGCUAGAGUGCUGGAGAGGAGACUGGAAUUUACGGUGUAGCAGUGAAAUGCGUAGAUAUCGUAAGGAAGACCAGUGGCGAAGGCGAGUCUCUGGACAGCAACUGACGCUGAGGCACGAAGGCCAGGGGAGCAAACGGG
rnacentral:rRNA from 1 species